AGCUCCAAUAGUGUAUAUUAUCAUUGUUGCAGUUAUAAAGCUCGUAGUUAGACUUCUGGAGGUGGGGACAGGCGAGUGGCUACGGCUGCUCCCGGUCGCUUCCUUCAUCCUUCUGUUAACGUUGUUCGGGAUUGAGUUUUCGACUUCGGGCUCAGAUAUUUACCUUACUACUUUUCGAGCAAAUUAUAGUGUUUCAGGCAGGCGUGCGCCGGAAUACAUUAGCAUGGAAUAAUCUAAUUGGACCGUGUAGCCCUUUGUAUUGGUUGUAGAGGGCAUGGUAAUGAUUAAAUAGGAAUAGUUUGAAGGGGCCAAAGUAUUUAAUUUCCAGAGGUGAAAUUCUUUGAAAGAUUUCUUAAGACUAACGUAUGCGAAAGCAUUUGCCAGGAAUAUUUUCUGUUAA
rnacentral:rRNA from 1 species